rnacentral:rRNA from 1 species
CGGGGGAGCAAGCGUUGUUCGGAUUUACUGGGCGUAAAGGGCGCGUAGGCGGUCAGCACAAGUCAGUUGUGAAAUCUCCGGGCUCAACUCGGAAAGGUCAACUGAUACUGUGCGACUAGAGUGCAGAAGGGGCAACUGGAAUUCUCGGUGUAGCGGUGAAAUGCGUAGAUAUCGAGAGGAACACCUGCGGCGAAGGCGGGUUGCUGGGCUGACACUGACGCUGAGGCGCGAAAGCCAGGGGAGCGAACGGGAUUAGAUACCCCGGUAGUCCUGGCCUUAAACGGUGGAUGCUUGGUGUCUGGAGUUAUAUAGUCUCCGGGUGCCGCAGCUAACGCGUUAAGCAUCCCGCCUGGGGAGUACGGUCGCAAGACUG